rnacentral:rRNA from 1 species
AAUCAACGCUGGCGGCGUGCCUCAGACAUGCAAGUCGAACGAUUAAACUUUCCUUCGGGAAAGAUAUAAAGUGGCGCACGGGUGAGUAACACGUAAGUAAUCUACCUUCGAGUGGGGAAUAACGUCGGGAAACCGACGCUAAUACCGCAUAAUGCAGCGGCACCUAAUGGUGACAGUUGUUAAAGGAGCAAUUCGCUUGAAGAGGAGCUUGCGGCAGAUUAGCUAGUUGGAAGGUAACGGCUUACCAAGGCUACGAUCUGUAACCGGUCUAAGAGGACGGUCGGUCACACUGACACUGAAUAACGGGUCAGACUCCUACGGGAGGCAGCAGUCGGGAAUUUUGGGCAAUGGGCGAAAGCCUGACCCAGCAACGCCGCGUGAAGGA